rnacentral:rRNA from 1 species
AUGGAGGCGCAGGCCACGGCGACGGUGAAGGAGGCGCUCGCGGCGCUGUACCACCACCCCGACGAUACCAUCCGCACCGCUGCCGACCGCUGGCUGCAGAAGUUUCAGCACACGCUGGACGCGUGGCAGGUAGCUGACAGCUUACUUCAUGACGAAAGCAGCAAUUUAGAGACUCUCAUGUUUUGUUCUCAGACUCUCAGAAGCAAGGUGCAAAGGGAUUUUGAGGAGUUACCGUCAGAAGCUUUUCGACCAUUGCAAGACUCUCUAUAUGGAUUGCUAAAGAAAUUUAAUAAAGGACCACCAAAAGUUAGAACACAGAUUUGUAUUGCAAUUGCUGCUCUGGCUGUGCAUGUACCUGUGGAGGACUGGGGAGGUGGUGGCAUCGUGAACUGGCUAGGCGAUGAAAUGAAAUCUCAACAAGAGUUCAUUCCAAGUUUCCUUGAACUGCUUAUUAUCUUGCCACAGGAAACUUCUAGUUAUAAAAUAGCUGCUCGUCCUGAAAGGCGCAAUCAGUUUGAGAACGACCUUUGUUCAUCAGCUAAUGUUGCUCUUAGUCUAUUGACUGCUUGCUUGGGUUUUGACGAGCUAAAAGAACAGGUUUUGGAGGGUUUUGCUUCUUGGCUUCGUUUCUGUCAUGGAAUUACCGCAGCUACCCUUGCUUCACAUCCUUUGGUCCAUACGGCACUCUCUUCGUUGAACACAGAUCAAUUUCUGGAGGCAGCUGUAAAUGUUACCUCUGAGUUGAUACAUUUUACUGUAUCUCGAGAUUCUUGUGGCAUUACUGAACAGUUUCCGCUGAUCCAAAUUCUCAUCCCUCAUGUUAUGGGCCUCAAAGAGCAGCUGAAAGACUCAUCUAAGGAUGAAGAAGAUGUAAAAGCUAUUGCUCGUUUAUUUGCAGACAUGGGUGAUUCCUAUGUUGACUUGAUUGCAACAGGUUCAGGCGAUGCCAUGCAAAUAGUAAAUGCACUACUGGAAGUUACUUCCCAUUCAGAAUUUGACAUAUCCUCCAUGACGUUUAAUUUCUGGCACCAUCUUAAGCGUAAUCUAACUGGGAGGGAUUCGUAUACAUCGUGUGGAUCUGAGGUGCCGAUUGAAGCUGAAAGAAAUAGAAGAAUGCAACUAUUCCGUCCUCCGUUUGAAGUUCUUGUGUCUCUGGUUAGUUCCCGAGUUGAAUACCCUGAGGACUUUCACACUUUCUCGGAGGAAGACCGGAGGGAUUUCAGAUAUGCUAGAUAUGCGGUUAGUGACGUGCUACUUGAUGCAACUGAUGUCCUUGGAGGUGACUCGACGCUAAAAAUACUUUUCAUGAAGUUAAUUCAGGCAUGUGGAAGCGGUGCCGAACAGAACCAGAAUUGGCAACCAUUAGAGGCUGCCCUUUUCUGUAUACAAGCCAUUGCUAAAUCGGUUUCGAUUGAAGAGAAGGAAAUAUUACCGCAGGUUAUGCCAUUGCUUCCAAGGUUUCCUCACCAAGAACAGUUGCUACAGACAGUUUGUUCAACCAUUGGAGCAUUUUCAAAAUGGAUUGAUGCUGCCCCAGCUGAACUGCCCAUCCUACCACCUUUGGUUGAUAUUCUCAACAAGGGCAUGAGUACAUCAGAGGAUACAGCUGCAGCUGCUUCUGUGGCAUUUAAGUAUAUAUGUGAAGACUGUAGGGGAAAGUUCUCGGGUUCAUUGGAUGGCCUUUUCCAGAUCUAUCAUGUUGCAAUAAGUGGAGUUGGUGGUUACAAAGUUUCUUCAGAGGACUCAUUGCAUUUGGUUGAAGCCUUAAGUGUGGUUAUCACGACGCUUCCGCAAGACCAUGCUAGAAGAGCCCUGGAGUUAAUCUGCAUGCCAAUAAUUAAUAGCUUGCAGGAAAUAAUCCAGCAAGGUGAAAGUGCUCUUCAACAAGUUCCUGCUCGGCAUUUAACCGUUCACAUAGACCGGUUGUCGACCAUUUUUAGCAAUGUGAAACUUCCAGAAGUGGUUGCUGAAGCUGUCAAUAGAUACUGGCCCACACUGAAGAUUAUCUUUGAUCAUCGGGCAUGGGAUACACGGACCAUGGAGUCUCUAUGCCGAUCUUGCAAAUUUGCUGUAAGGACAUGUGGGAGGUCCAUGGGAAUCACCAUUGGUGCAAUGCUUCUAGAAAUCCAAACACUAUAUCAGCAACACAAUCAGUCUUGCUUCCUUUACUUAUCCAGUGAAGUUAUUAAGAUAUUUGGGUCUGAUCCAUCUUGUGCAAGCUAUCUUACAUGUCUGAUACAGACACUCUUUAAUCAUACAAUACAAUUGCUCAGAACUAUUCAGGAUUUUACAGCUAGACCCGACAUAGCUGAUGAUUGCUUUCUGCUUGCGUCAAGAUGUAUUCGUUACUGUCCUGAUCUAUUUGUACCUACAGAGAUUUUUCCAAGAUUGGUUGAUUGUGCAAUGGCUGGUGUAACUAUACAACAUAGGGAGGCCUGCAAAUCCAUACUGUGUUUCUUAUCUGACACCUUUGAUCUUGCAAAAUCACCUGAGGGGGAAAAGUACCGGGAUCUAAUAAACACAAUUGUACUCCAGCGAGGUGCAACACUUGCAAGAAUAAUGAUUGCUUCCUUAACAGGGGCGCUACCGUCUGGUCGCUUGGAGGAGGUCUCAUAUGUUCUGCUGUCCCUUAGCAGAGCUUUUGGUGGGAAUAUGUUGAAUUGGACAAGGGAUUGCAUUGCUCUUAUACCCCCACAAGCCCUAACAGAUUCAGAACGCUCAAGAUUCUUGACAAUUAUAUCCGAUGCAUCAUCGGGAUCUAGUCUUGGUUCCUUGACGGAUAGAUUCGCUGAAAUAUCAGAGGUUUGCAGACGAAACAAAGCGGUGCAGGAUAUAGUUCAAGCUGCUUUGCAGCCUCAUGACUUGGCCUUCAUGGUUGCUCCGCAGCAUUCAUGA